GAUGAACGCUGGCGGCGUGCUUAACACAUGCAAGUCGAACGGAAAGGCCCAAGCUUGCUUGGGUACUCGAGUGGCGAACGGGUGAGUAACACGUGGGUGAUCUGCCCUGCACUUCGGGAUAAGCCUGGGAAACUGGGUCUAAUACCGGAUAGGACCACUUCUUGGAUGUUGUGGUGGAAAGUUUUUUCGGUGUGGGAUGAGCUCGCGGCCUAUCAGCUUGUUGGGGGGGUAAUGGCCUACCAGGGCGUCGACGGGUAGCCGGCCUGAGAGAGUGUAAGGCCACAUUGGGACUGAGAUACGGCCCAGACGCGUACGGGAGGCAGCAGUGGGGAAGAUUGCACAAGGGGCGCAGGCCUGAUGCAGCGGCGCCGCGUGGGGGAUGACGGCCUUCGGGUUGUAAACUCCUUUCGCUAGGGACGAUGCGUUUUGUGACGGUACCUGGAGAAGAAGCACCGGCUAACUACGUG
rnacentral:rRNA from 1 species